rnacentral:rRNA from 1 species
GAUGAACGCUAGCGGCAGGCUUAACACAUGCAAGUCGAGGGGUAUAGUUCUUCGGAAUUAGAGACCGGCGCACGGGUGCGUAACGCGUAUGCAAUCUACCUUUCACAAAGGGAUAGCCCCAGAGAAAUUUGGAUUAAUACCUUAUAGUAAUACGACUUGGCAUCAAGAUGUAUUUAAAGAUUUAUCGGUGAAAGAUGAGCAUGCGUCCCAUUAGCUUGUUGGUAAGGUAACGGCUUACCAAGGCAACGAUGGGUAGGGGUCCUGAGAGGGAGAUCCCCCACACUGGUACUGAGACACGGACCAGACUCCUACGGGAGGCAGCAGUGAGGAAUAUUGGACAAUGGGCGCAAGCCUGAUCCAGCCAUGCCGCGUGCAGGAUGACGGUCCUAUGGAUUGUAAACUGCUUUUGUACAGGAAGAAACCCUUUCACGUGUGGAAGAUUGACGGUACUGUAAGAAUAAGGAUCGGCUAACUCCGUGCCAGCAGCCGCGGUAAAG